rnacentral:precursor_RNA from 9 species
UCGAGACGCAAACUGUAUCGGUUUUCACUCUUCGCAAGCGAACUGAUCAAAACCCACACUCGGUGACGGACGUUUUGUUCGUUUUGCUUGCGAUCAGUGCGAGCGUACGAUAAAUCAUACAUCCAU